rnacentral:rRNA from 1 species
CCAUUACGGAGGAAAAGAAACCAACAGGGAUUGCCUUAGUAGCGGCGAGUGAAGCGGCAAAAGCUCAAAUUUGAAAUCUGGCGCCUUCGGUGUCCGAGUUGUAAUUUGAAGAUUGUAACCUUGGGGUUGGCUCUUGUCUAUGUUUCUUGGAACAGGACGUCACAGAGGGUGAGAAUCCCGUGCGAUGAGAUGCCCAAUCCUAUGUAAGGUGCUUUCGAAGAGUCGAGUUGUUUGGGAAUGCAGCUCUAAGUGGGUGGUAAAUUCCAUCUAAAGCUAAAUAUUGGCGAGAGACCGAUAGCGAACAAGUACAGUGAUGGAAAGAUGAAAAGAACUUUGAAAAGAGAGUGAAAAAGUACGUGAAAUUGUUGAAAGGGAAGGGUUUGAGAUCAGACUCGAUAUUUUGUGAGCCUUGCCUUCGUGGCGGGGUGACCCGCAGCUUAUCGGGCCAGCAUCGGUUUGGGCGGUAGGAUAAUGGCGUAGGAAUGUGACUUUACUUCGGUGAAGUGUUAUAGCCUGCGUUGAUGCUGCCUGCCUAGACCGAGGACUGCGAUUUUAUCAAGGAUGCUGGCAUAAUGAUCCCAAACCGCCCGUCUUGAA